CAGAAGACAUCCAACAAGUUUGGGCUGAGAAGUAUCAAAAUUAGCUCUGGUUUUAGAGUGAAGAGUCCCUGUUACCCUUGGUCUGUCAUGGGGAAGAUGACCUAGACAAGGUUUACUGGAUCAUAAUAUUUCCUGGCCACUUAUGUUGGAUCCUGAGUGCUGUGACUUCCCGCAGAAACAUUCAGGAGUCUGGAUUUUCCUGAUGUUUGUGGGAGUCACAGACUGAAGCCUGAACUCUGCUGGCACCCAUGGCAGUCUCAUGCAGGAGGGCACGGUGUCAACAUUGUUUAAUCUUUGCAAAUGUGGUAUGGCAGGAUCUCAGCUACAUGGAAGAACUUAGCACUAAAUUAGUGAAGCUUCAUUUCCUCCCAACACCUCACCCAAAAGCAGCCCGUUUUAGACUCCUGGCAGGAGAUGGCCAUUUGAUCUAGCAGGCUUUGGUGGUCCAGCUCAUUGAUCCAAAGAGCAACUUGGAAAGAAUUGAGCCAUGGAUGGAGUAUCCACCAUCUUACUUAAGGCAUCAUUUUGGUUGGCUUUCGAAAGAGAGCUGC